rnacentral:rRNA from 1 species
CCUACGGGAGGCAGCAGUGGGGAAUAUUGCACAAUGGGGGAAACUCUGAUGCAGCGACGCCGCGUGAGUGAAGAAGUAUUUCGGUAUUUAAAGCUCUAUCAGCAGGGAAGAAAAUGACGGUACCUGAUUAAGAAGCCCCGUCUAACUACGUGCCAGCAGCCGCGGUAAUACGUAGGCGGCAAGCGUUAUCCGGAUUUACUGGGGGUAAAGGGAGCGUAGACGGCAGGACAAGUCUGGGGUGAAAUGCCGGGGCUUAACCCCGGAACUGCUUUGGACACUGUGCAGCUAGAGUGCAGGAGAGGUAAGUGGAAUGUAUGGUGUAGCGGUGAAAUGCGUAGAUAUUAGACAGAACACCAGUGGCGAAGGCAGCUUACUGAACUAUAACUGACGUUGAGGCACGAAAGCGUGGGGAGCAAACAGGAUUAGAUACCCGUGUAGUC